rnacentral:rRNA from 1 species
UACGAAGGGGGCGAGCGUUGUUCGGAAUUACUGGGCGUAAAGGGCGCGUAGGCGGCCCCUUUUGUCGCGUGUGAAAGCCCCGGGCUCAACCUGGGAACGGCGCGCGAAACGGGGGGGCUUGAGUUCGGGAGAGGAGAGUGGAAUUCCCAGUGUAGAGGUGAAAUUCGUAGAUAUUGGGAAGAACACCAGUGGCGAAGGCGACUACCUGGCCUGUUCUUGACGCUGAGGCGCGAAAGCUAGGGUAGCAAACGGG